UACGGAGGGAGCUAGCGUUGUUCGGAAUUACUGGGCGUAAAGCGCACGUAGGCGGUUAUUCAAGUCAGAGGUGAAAGCCCGGGGCUCAACCCCGGAACGGCCUUUGAAACUAGAUAGCUAGAAUCUUGGAGAGGUCAGUGGAAUUCCGAGUGUAGAGGUGAAGUUCGUAGAUAUUCGGAAGAACACCAGUGGCGAAGGCGACUGACUGGACAAGUAUUGACGCUGAGGUGCGAAAGCCAGGGGAGCAAACGGG
rnacentral:rRNA from 1 species